UACGAAGGGGGCUAGCGUUGCUCGGAAUCACUGGGCGUAAAGCGCACGUAGGCGGCUUUUUAAGUCAGGGGUGAAAUCCUGGAGCUCAACUCCAGAACUGCCUUUGGUACUGAGAAGCUUGAGUCCGGGAGAGGUGAGUGGAACUGCGAGUGUAGAGGUGAAAUUCGUAGAUAUUCGCAAGAACACCAGUGGCGAAGGCGGCUCACUGGCCCGGUACUGACGCUGAGGUGCGAAAGCGUGGGGAGCAAACAGG
rnacentral:rRNA from 1 species